rnacentral:rRNA from 1 species
CCUACGGGCGGCAGCAGUGAGGAAUAUUGGUCAAUGGACGAGAGUCUGAACCAGCCAAGUAGCGUGAAGGAUGACUGCCCUAUGGGUUGUAAACUUCUUUUAUAUGGGCAUAAAACAUGGUAUGCAUACCCUCUUGUACGUACCCUAUGAACAAGGAUCCGCCAACUCCGUGCCAGCAGCCGCGGUAAUACGGAGGAUCCGAGGGUCAUCCGGAUUUAUUGGGUUUAAGGGGAGCGUGGGUGGAUUGUAACGUCAGUUGUAAAAGUUUGCGGCUCAACCGACAAAUUGCAGUUGAAACUGGCAGUCUUGAGUGCAGUAGAGGAAGGCGGAAUUCGUGGUGUAGCGGUGGAAUGCGUAGAUAUCACGAAGAACUCCGAUUGCGAAGGCAACUCACUGGACUGCAACUGACACUGAUGCUCGAAAGUGUGGGUAUCAAACAGGAUUAGAUACCCCAGUAGUC